GACGAACGCUGGCGGCGUGCUUAACACAUGCAAGUCGAACGGACGGAAAUGAAAGCUUGCUUUCAUGGAAGUUAGUGGCGGACGGGUGAGUAACGCGUGGGUAACCUGCCCUUAAGAGGGGGAUAACACUUCGAAAGGAGUGCUAAUACCGCAUAACAUCAGUUAAUUGCAUGAUUGACUGAUCAAAGGAGCAAUCCGCUUAAGGAUGGACCCGCGUCUGAUUAGCUAGUUGGUGAGGUAACGGCUCACCAAGGCGACGAUCAGUAGCCGGCCUGAGAGGGUGAACGGCCACACUGGGACUGAGACACGGCCCAGACUCCUACGGGAGGCAGCAGUGGGGAAUCUUCCGCAAUGGGCGAAAGCCUGACGGAGCAACGCCGCGUGAGUGAAGAAGGUCUUCGGAUUGUAAAACUCUGUCUUCAGGGAAGAAACAAAUGACGGUACCUGAGGAGGAAGCCCCGGCUAACUACGUGCCAGCCGCCGCGGUAAGAC
rnacentral:rRNA from 1 species